UACGUAGGAUGCAAGCGUUGUCCGGAAUUAUUGGGCGUAAAGGGCGCGUAGGCGGCCGAAUAAGUCUGACGUGAAAUCCCCCGGCCCAACCGGGGAACUGCGUUUGAUACUGUUCGGCUCGAGUCCGGGAGAGGGUAGUGGAAUUCCCAGUGUAGCGGUGAAAUGCGUAGAUAUUGGGAGGAACACCGGUGGCGAAGGCGGCUACCUGGACCGGUACUGACGCUGAGGCGCGAAAGCUAGGGUAGCAAACAGG
rnacentral:rRNA from 1 species